UAUUAGUACAUUUGCAGGUUACAUUUUCAGAUUGUUGAGUUCCUUACAUAUAGCAUUAAGUUGUAAACUUGAAUGCAUAAUUCUGUUUUUUGCAGCAAUGAAGACUUCAUCUGAGACCCAUUUAAAACCGUCACAAUCUGUACAAGUGAGGUUUGAUUUUGCAGUGGGCAGUUUUUGAAGCAAUGACCAGAUUCUCCGCAAGCGUAACAACCAUUCUCUACUGGUAAUUUCACCAUCUUGCAUUUGACAGGAUCGAUGGCAUCGUCAAACCAUUCAAAGUACUGACAGGGCCUAAUUUAUAUGAAUGAAGCUGAAUCUGACCGUUACAAAUCCAACCGUUACAAAUCCGACCGUUGCAAUGAGUCACCGAGUUGACUCGAU